rnacentral:rRNA from 1 species
UAGGGAAUCUUCGGCAAUGGACGAAAGUCUGACCGAGCAACGCCGCGUGAGUGAAGAAGGUUUUCGGAUCGUAAAACUCUGUUGUUAGAGAAGAACAAGGAUGAGAGUAAAAUGUUCAUCCCUUGACGGUAUCUAACCAGAAAGCCACGGCUAACUACGUGCCAGCAGCCGCGGUAAUACGUAGGUGGCAAGCGUUGUCCGGAUUUAUUGGGCGUAAAGCGAGCGCAGGCGGUUUCUUAAGUCUGAUGUGAAAGCCCCCGGCUCAACCGGGGAGGGUCAUUGGAAACUGGGAGACUUGAGUGCAGAAGAGGAGAGUGGAAUUCCAUGUGUAGCGGUGAAAUGCGUAGAUAUAUGGAGGAACACCAGUGGCGAAGGCGGCUCUCUGGUCUGUAACUGACGCUGAGGCUCGAAAAGCGUGGGGAGCGAACAGGAUUAGAUACCCUGGUAGUCCACGCCGUAAACGAUGAGUGCUAAGUGUUGGAGGGUUUCCGCCCUUCAGUGCUGCAGCAAACGCAUUAAGCACUCCGCCUGGGGAGUACGACCGCAAGGUUGAAACUUAAAGGAAAUUGACGGGGGUCAUAGCUGUUUCCUG